rnacentral:rRNA from 1 species
CAGGCUUAACACAUGCAAGUCGAGGGGUAACAGGGAAAAGCUUGCUUUUUUGCUGACGACCGGCGAACGGGUGCGUAACGCGUAUAGAAUCUGCCUUGUNCAGGAGGAUAGCCUUUANAAAUGAAGAUUAAUACUCCAUAAUGUAGAGUAGUGGCAUCGCUAUUUUAUUAAAGAUUUAUUGGUACAAGAUGACUAUGCGUCCUAUUAGCUAGAUGGUAAGGUAACGGCUUACCAUGGCGACGAUAGGUAGGGGGUCUGAGAGGAUUAUCCCCCACACUGGUACUGAGACACGGACCAGACUCCUACGGGAGGCAGCAGUGAGGAAUAUUGGUCAAUGGAGGCAACUCUGAACCAGCCAUGCCGCGUGCAGGAAGACUGCCCUAUGGGUUGUAAACUGCUUUUAUACAGGAAGAAACAGAUCUACGUGUAGGUCCUUGACGGUACUGUAAGAAUAAGCACCGGCUAACUCCGUGCCAGCAGCCGCGGUAAUACGGAGGGUGCAAGCGUUAUCCGGAAUCAUUGGGUUUAAAGGGUCCGCAGGCGGUCAAUUAAGUCAGAGGUGAAAUCCCAUAGCUUAACUAUGGAACUGCCUUUGAUACUGGUUGACUUGAGUUAUA